rnacentral:rRNA from 1 species
UGGCGGCAGGCCUAACACAUGCAAGUCGAGCGGAUGAAGGGAGCUUGCUCCUGGAUUCAGCGGCGGACGGGUGAGUAAUGCCUAGGAAUCUGCCUGGUAGUGGGGGAUAACGUCCGGAAACGGGCGCUAAUACCGCAUACGUCCUGAGGGAGAAAGUGGGGGAUCUUCGGACCUCACGCUAUCAGAUGAGCCUAGGUCGGAUUAGCUAGUUGGUGGGGUAAAGGCCUACCAAGGCGACGAUCCGUAACUGGUCUGAGAGGAUGAUCAGUCACACUGGAACUGAGACACGGUCCAGACUCCUACGGGAGGCAGCAGUGGGGAAUAUUGGACAAUGGGCGAAAGCCUGAUCCAGCCAUGCCGCGUGUGUGAAGAAGGUCUUCGGAUUGUAAAGCACUUUAAGUUGGGAGGAAGGGCAGUAAGUUAAUACCUUGCUGUUUUGACGUUACCAACAGAAUAAGCACCGGCUAACUUCGUGCCAGCCGCCGCGGUAAUU